rnacentral:rRNA from 1 species
UAUGUCGUUUAACCAAGUUUCCGUAGGUGAACCUGCGGAAGGAUCAUUAUCGAGUUUUGACUGGGUUGUAGCUGGCCUUCCGGAGGCAUGUGCACGCCCUAGCGCCAUCCACUCUACCACCUGUGCACCUUACUGUAGACUUGAAACAGACUCUCGUAGGAAACGCGGUCCCUUGACCGGAAUGCUGUGCGCAAACAUGGCUGUGCCUUGCGUUUCAAGUCUACGUUUUUAUUAUACCCCAUAAGAAUGUAAUCAGAAUGUGUAUUAAUGCGAUGUAACGCAUCUAAAUUAAUACAACUUUCAACAACGGAUCUCUUGGCUCUCGCAUCGAUGAAAAACGCAGCGAAAUGCGAUAAGUAAUGUGAAUUGCAAAAUUCAGUGAAUCAUCGAAUCUUUGAACGCACCUUGCGCUCCUUGGUAUUCCGAGGAGCAUGCCUGUUUGAGUGUCAUGAAAUUCUUCAACCCUGCAAGCUUUUGCAAGUUGGAUAGGCUUGGACUGUGGAGGCUAUGUGCGGCCGUUCUCCAGAAGUCAGCUCCUCUUAAAUGCAUUAGCUUGGAACCUUUGCGGACCAGCUCUCAGUGUGAUAAUGAUCUACGCCAUGCGACCGUGAAGCAGCUUUAACAUGGCGUUCAGCUUCUAACAGUCUCAUUGACUUGGAGACAAAUUUAUGACAUCUUUGACCUCAAAUCAGGUAGGACUACCCGCUGAACUUAAGCAUAUCAAUAAGCGGAGGAAAAGAAACUAAGCAAAGAUUCCCCUAGUAACUGCGAGGAAAGGGGGGAAAA